rnacentral:rRNA from 1 species
GAGUUUGAUCAUGGCUCAGAACGAACGCUGGCGGCGUGCCUAACACAUGCAAGUCGAGGGAGAAAAGGGGCUUCGGCUCCUGAGUAAACCGGCGCACGGGUGAGUAACACGUAGGUAACGUACCUUGGAAUCUGGGAUAACCAGUCGAAAGACUGGCUAAUACCGGAUACGACUGUGAGGGCCCCGGCCCUUAUAGUGAAAGACGGCCUCUGUUUACAUGCUGUCGUUCCUGGAUCGGCCUGCGCACCAUUAGCUAGUUGGUGGGGUAACGGCCUACCAAGGCUGAGAUGGUUAGCUGGUCUGAGAGGAUGGCCAGCCACACUGGGACUGAGACACGGCCCAGACUCCUACGGGAGGCAGCAGUGGGGAAUAUUGCGCAGUGGGGGAAACCCUGACGCAGCGACGCCGCGUGGGUGAUGAAGGCCUUCGGGUCGUAAAGCCCUGUCGGGAGGGAAGAAAGAGUCCGGACCUAAUACGUCCGGGAAUUGACGGUACCUCCUAAGGAAGCACCGGCUAACUCCGUGCCAGCAGCCGCGGUAAUACGGAGGGUGCUAGCGUUGUUCGGAAUCACUGGGCGUAAAGGGCGUGUAGGCGGUCUGUUAAGUCUGAUGUGAAAUCCCCUCGCUCAACGAGGGA